rnacentral:lncRNA from 1 species
GAGACAAAAAAUAACAAAUUUGGAACCAGAAUAACAAUAGACAGAUUGUGCUUCACUAGUUUGCUUUCUUUCUCGGUUUACAUUUGGAGAUGAAGGGCAAGGACGGAAGCCUUGAAUGGAACCGCAUAAAUCCUUGUUGCCUAUAAAUGUCUCGGGUGCAAAAUGCAAUAAUCCAUCUGGAAUUUGACCCCUCAGUGAAUUAAAUGACAAAUUGAGGUUCCCCACAUAAAAUGGAAAUCGGGAAUCGUGCCCGUUAGAUUAUUCCAACUGAGAUCUAAGCUGCUUAAAUCAGUUAAAUUCCCAAAUUGGGAAGGUAUCACUCCUAGGAGAAGGUUAUGGCUAAGAAAAAUGUUUUGGGAAUAGUUUUGGAAAUUGAGUUGAGAAGGUAUAUCUCCACUAAUGAUGUUAUGGCUUAGAUCAAGCUCAUAUAGAGAUAAGCCACUAAUUUGCAGGGGAAUCCUUCCACUCAAGUUAUUGUUUGCCAAAAUUAAGGAUCUUAAAUUUGACAAAUUACCAAUCUGAGAUGGAAUGGGCCCACUCAAUUUGUUGUCUGAGAGAUUCAAGUAUUUCAGGGCAUUCAAACUCUCAAUUUCAUGGGGUAUGGGACCCUCCAAAUGAUUGGAAGCGAUGGUUAAAUCCAUUAAAUUGGGUAAAUGAAGUAGUGAUGAAGGGAUUGAGCCAGUGAGUUUGUUAUAAGAGAGAUACAAUACAGUCAGAUUCUUUAAUUUUCCAAUAUCUAAUGGGAUGAAACCUUCAAAAAGAUUUGAGUCAAGGUACAAGCUACUCAAGCUGGGUAAAAGACCUAGAAACGAAGGGAUUUCACCACUCAAGUUAUUGGCACCAAGAUCCAAGUAAGUCAACCUCUUAAGAUUUCUUAUUUCUAAUGGGAUGGAACCAUUUAUUUUAUUUGUAUAAAGAGAGAACGAUUCCAGUCUGGAUAACUUACCCAAAGUUGGAGGGAGUGGGCCGGAAAUUUUGUUUGAACUCAAAUAAAGAGAACUGAGAUUCUUUAAUUGACUCAAAGAGGAAGGGAUGGGACCCAAAAGCAUAUUGGAGGAUAGAUCUAAUGUAACCAAAUUCGUUAGCCUCCCAAUUUCUUGCGGAAUGAAUCCAUUAAGUUGGUUGCCAUAAAGAUCCAACGAUGCAAGAUUGGUUAAGUUGUUGACAGAAGAUGGGAUUGGACCAACAAGCAUGUUGUUCGAGAGAUUGAGAUUAACCAAACUCUUCAGCUUUCCAAUAUUUGGUGGAAUGGAAACAUAGAGCUGGCAGUUUCCGAGAUGGAGAGUCAUUAGCUUUUUUAGGUUCCAUAUUUGGGGAGGGAUGAUGCUCCGCAAUGGAUUAGAGUUCAUAAUCAAGUGAGUGAGAUUGGUCAAAAGACCUAUAGCUGAAGGCAGAUGAACAAUGAGGUUCCUCGUUAAAUUUAGAGAAACAAGAUUCUCCAUCUUCUCAAUUUCCAAGGGAAUGGAAAGAAUUUCAUUAUAAGAAACAUCAAGCACUGCCAUUUGAGCAAGGUUUCCAAGUGAAGAAGGUAACUCACCUCUAAGAUUAUUUGAGGACAGGUUGAGGCACUUGAGUUUCGAAAGUGCACCUAUUUGAGGUGUUAUACUCCCAUUUAGACCAUGGCCACUAAGAUCAAUCUCGAUGACACUUCCAGCAGAACUACAUCUAACACCAGGCCAUGUACAAUGGUGAACACUUAUGUUGCUGUAGUUACUCCACCACCCAGUUUCCAUCAAUGCUUUUUCCUCAGCUACAAGAGAUUCUGAAUCAUUAUUUGUUACUAUAGUAAUCUCACUGCUCCUCACUGUUAUAGAGAGUAAAAAAAGCAAAAUAGCAAUGAAAGUGUAAAAGGAGAAUGCCAUAGCUAUUAAGAUCAGGAUUGAAGCUUUACUCCCAAUUUUAAAGAGCCGGUAAAAACAUAUAUAUAUAUAUAAAGACUUGAUCCAACAUUUGGCUAUAUGUGCAGUUGAAGGUCACCCAGUAUUUUCCUAUUGAUUACUUUUGGAAAGAACAAAAUCUAGUAUGAAAGCAUCUUCCGUAAAGUUAUUAUGAAAAUUAUUAUGCCUACUAAAAAUAAUUAACUUUCUGUAAAGUUAUUAUGAAAAUUAUUGGCGGCGUACAUGAACAAUGUGUUCAACGUUUCACUGGUAGGAAAUGAAGACCAAAAUUGAUUUUAGAAACUAAGCACCUCAAUGUUGUAUUAUUCUUCUAAGAAAGCAAUAAUGAUAAUGUUAAACCCCAAUUUUUCUAAUAUCGGUUUGGUUGCGUUUUUAUAGUUUCGGCCAAAUUGGAGAAUACAAUUUCAUCGUUUUCGAGGAUAAUAUUUCAAUAUUAACAAAAUAUGAACACAAGAAACCUCCUUUAAAGAUGUUUGGUUUAACAAACGCAAUAUUUUUUAGUCUCGUCGAUUGAGUAUGCAGGGGAUAUGGGUUUGAGCCUGUGCUGAAGUAUAUUAUCCUCUAAUUUAUGGGUUAGGGAUGAGUUAUGUGUAGUUUUAGGCAUUGUGUCAAAAAUAGAUCAAAAUCUAUAAUGAGAUUGUUCAAAACAACUAUUUUCAGUCUCAAUUUCCGUAAAAUUAUGAUAAUUCAUAUUUUUUUAAUUACAAUUUAUAUAUUAAUAAGUAAAUAUAUGAUGUUGAAAUAAUUUAUAAAUCAUAAUUAUAAUAAUCAACCUUAAUUAAUAUAUUAAUAAAUAAAUUAUUAAAGUAAAUAUAAGAAUAAUUUUGAUGUUGACAUCUAUUAUUUUAUUUUUAAGAAAAAUAUAUUAUCAUUUUUAAUCCGUUUUAAAUUUUAUUUGAGAAGAAAAAUUUAAUUUGAGUAAAAAAUAAAACAAAGGGCAAACUACUCCGUAAUCUAAGAUAACAUGAAUAAGUUGUAAAGAGAUUAGAUGUUAUAUUAUAUUAUCUUGACAUUAUUUAAAAAUAUAAGAUUAUAUAAUGAUCAGAAUGUUAAAAAUUUAAAUAAAAUAAUCUUAUCCUAAAAUGUAACAUUACUACCAAAACCUACCUUAAAAGUAAAGUAACAUGGUUGGUUAUUUUUUAUAUUUAAAUGUCGAAAAUAAAGUCUAAUUAAUUGUGUAAAUAUUAAUUAAUUUUUAUUUGAAAAUGUGCUCUCACAAAGUUUGUGUUUCUCCGUGAAAAUUGUAGCCAAACUAUUUUUAACUUCAGAUCAUUGAUUUCACAUAUGUUUGAUAAGGUUUAAGAUGGGCUGAACAUUCUCUAUGAAGUAAUCCUAUAGAAAUUAUUUAUCUUGUACCAUUAAAAAUAAUUGGUGAUUCAAAUGAUACAUUUCUUUACAUAAAUAUAUCACUGCAAGUAGGGGCGAAGUUAGAAAUCUUGUAUGGGGGGUGAGAUAAGAUUAUAAAAUUUGUGGAGGCUCAAGUUUAAAAAUUUUCUAUUAAAAAUGUUUAAAGUAAAUUAAAUUAUUAAAUUUUCAAAGCUAGAAAUCACUGUAUUGCCUUAUUUGAGUAAUGGUAGGAUUUGCUCUCAAAAGUGGUGUCUCCCUGCUUGUCCGCAUCCCACAAGUCAUAAACAUGGAGGUAGGUCAUUAUCUUCACUACCUAAAUGUGGUAGAUUUCUUCAGCAAAAACAAGUGGAGGAGGGAGUGAGAAGUUUGCUGAAGACAUGUUUUACAACAACAACAUGUUUUACAACAACAAGAAACAAAGAAGCUUCUAUCAUUUUUAACAAGAAACAGAAACAAAAACAAUGACCCUUAAAGACAACACGCUCUUGAUAGCAAUUAUAGUAAUACUAUAAUUAUAGUUGUACAAGCCCAAUUUUGGGCCCAAAGCCCACUAAAUACCCACUACACCCAAAACAAAUAACCUACCCAAAUCACCCCAAAGACCCAAACCUACCCAUGCCCACACACACAACAAAAGAAAAAAGCUAAGGAAACCCUAGCCGUUCAGCACCUGCUCCCCAUCCCAUCCACCACCGACGUCUACAAGCACCGCCACUGUGCCACCGCCCCACUUGCGCCUGCAACAUUAAAAAAAGGAGAAUAGACAGAUAUUAAAAAAGGGAAAUGUAAUGGCUAUUUAAAAGCCAAAUCCAAAAACCAUGUAUUUUUCAGGCAUUUUCAGUAAAAAUAAAGAGCAAUAUUAGAUCGUAAAACAGAAGCAAAAAACAAAGAAACCCUAGCAAUAUCAAACAACAAAAUCAGUUCAAACAGAGAAAUAAACAUCUAAUAACCGAAGGUGAUUCAUCUUAAUCUUCUUGCUUUUUCUUUCUUUUUCACUUACUCUACUCACAUAUAUAUAUACGCUUUAAAAAUAUAUAUAUAAAAAUUUCUUACCUUUUUCGAUCUCCACGGUGGCCGGUACGGCGGACCUCACGGCGGCGCUAGGUCUGCACCUCGCCGGCUUCUGGGCCGACAGACCGAGGGAGAGAGAGAGGAUUCGGGGCUUUUUUGAAGGAGAGCAGAGGAGAAAUGAAAAAAAAUAGAAAUAAAUGUCUUAUAUAGGCCGGCAAAACGCACCGUUUUGCCCGGCCAUUUUAAAACCCAGAAACGGCACUGUUUAGGCGCGACCCUAAGACCCGACCAGUCUUACCCUGGGAUCCGCGUGUUUUUGCUCUUAGGGGUUAAUUGCAUGCCUGGUCCUUCCGCUUUUUAUAUGUUUUGCAAUCAGAUUUUGAUUGCUUUUAAAUUGGCCCUGGAAUUUAUCGCGUUUGCGAUUCGGUCCUCCCUUCUGCGACGUCGUUUUAAGGGCCCGGGAAAAUUUCCCUUUUGGCCCUCUGUAGUCGCGCGCGUUUUCAAAUUAGUCCCUUUCUCCUUUAUUAAUUUUUAAAUCAACCCCAGAACUUCAUAUUUGUUUUAAAUUUAGUCUUUUUUCAGUUCAAUGUGGUUUCCAUAUUAUUUUUUCCCCCUUUGAUAUUUUAAAUAUUAUUCAUUAUUUUAUUUACCAUUUUCGUAUUAUUAUCAGCAUAUAUUAUUAUUUUUUAGGCAUUUUUUAAUUAAUACUUGCAUGCAUUUUAUAUAUAUAUAUAUAUUCUUAUUGUUGUCUUUUCAUAUAUAUAUUAUUAUUCCUAAUGUAUGUUUCAUGUAUAUACAUUUAAAUACUAUAUUAUACACAUAUUAAUACCACAUUAUAUAUACUUUUUAUAUCCACUUCUACCUCUAUCAUAUUUACUAUUAAUAUCAAUUUAUGUUUAUUUAUAUAUCUUCAAUAUAUAUAUGCGUAUACAUUAUUAUUAUUAGUUUGUGAUAUUAUUGUUUUUAAUACAUUUGUGUCAUAUAUACAUCCUUUUAAUAUAUAUUUAAAUAUUAUACUUCAUAUUAUGCUCACAUAAAUUACUGUUAUAUUAUGUAUAUCGUUUUAUUAUAGUUUUAUACAUUGUAAAUAUUAUGUUAUGUUCUAUCAUGCAUAUUAUGUAUGUCAUGUAUAUGUUUUAAUAUAUUAUGUGUAUAUCUUGCUUUGUAUUUCACGUACAUAUUAUGUAUAUACGUUUAAUACUAUCAUAUAUUUAUUUUCAACACAUAUUCGUGUAAAUAUUUAUUAUUAUUAUCAUCAUCUUCUUAUUUUCACCAUUUUUAUACUUCUCAUUAUUAUCGUUUUAUCACCUAUUUAUUUAUAUCUUUGUAAACUCUUUCAAACCUUAAAUCGUUCAUUAUUGGUAUAUAUUUUUAUAUUUCUUAUUACUUCUAUUAUUAAGUAGGUACCUUGAUACGUAUAUGUAUGCACUUUUAUAUUAUCAUUACCGUUAUCAUUAUCAUUUUAUUUCGCCAUCUUUAUAUUUAUUUAUUCGUUAAUUUACUUAUAUAUUCGAUCAUUUUAUUUUUCUCACGCAUUUGUUUAUAUUUACGUAUUACUAACCUUGCUUCUAUGUCAUAUUUUUCAUAACUACUUGUUAUUAUCACUCAUUAUUAUACGUUAUCAUUAAUAUCAUAAUCUACUUUUAUGUAUUACUAUGAAUUACAUAUAUUUUUACUCGAUGCCUUAAAAUAAUUCUUUCAUAAAAGUGAUAUUCCGUAUUUGGUAAUUCGAAAUAAUCGUGCCCUAACUUACUGGGUUUCGAUUUUUCUUAUUUAACCUAAAUAACGGAAUACUCUUUUAAAUCACUAUACGAGUUUUGAAAAAUGCUUAUUCUCGAAGAUGCGAAGUGUUGUGCCCUAACUUACCGGGUAUGACAUUUUGUCAUCUCGAAAUAAGAAUUUAUUUUGAAAUAAAGGCAAUAUUCGGUGUUUGAGAAUUCAAGAAAACGUGCCCUAACUUACUGAGUUUCUAUUUCUCUCGUUUACUCUAAAUAAUCGGAUACCCUUUUAAUAAAAUACACAGAUUUUAAAUAAAGGCAAGCUCGUUCUCAAAGUUCGAUAUGUCGUGUCCUAACUUACUGGACAUGGCAUUUAUUACUUUGAGACGAGAAGGUCUUUAACAUUUGAGCAUUUUUUACAAAGAGGGAUCGUAUUUUAAAUUCUUUCAAGUUUUCAAAUUUUCAACACUAAGACAUUAAUUAAUCAACUAGGUACCAAUUUUGGGCGUAUCGAGGGUGCUAAUCCUUCCUCGUGCGUAACCGACUCCCGAACUCAUUUUCUGAUUUUUUGUAGACCAAAAAUUAUCGUUUUAGUAAAUCUUGACUUUUAUUAAAAUGAUUAAUUUAAGGUGAUCUGAUCACACCUCAUCAAAAAGAUUGGUGGCGACUCCCCGUUCUUUCAUCUUCAAGACCAAAGUCGAUUCCCGUUUUUCAAAAAAAUGGUUACGACAAUAGUAAUACUAGAAUCAAGGACGAUACUAAGGGGGUUGGAAGCGGCCUUGAUCCUCUUUGGUUUGAUAUAUUCGCCUCUUUAGGCCUUUAAAAUUUAGUAAAUUUUAGUUAAUAAAUAGUAAAAUUCUAUUUUAACCCUUCAAGUUUUUUCAAUUUAAUUUCGAUUCCUCCACUAUAAAAUUUUUGACUUCGCUCUUGACUUUAACCCUGAUGCUUUCCAGAUUACUACUGGAUACUCAACUAACUUAUUUUAAUCAUCAUAGUGGGAAUAUGUAAUUGAAAUUUUGUACCUUGUUUAACAUUGUGUAUAAGCUUAAUAUAGGGAUUUCUGUCAAACCGACCUUGUGAAAACUACAAGAAAAAUGAAAAAGAAAAUUCAUGUUGAGUAAGAAAAUAAAAACGUUUUGCAUGUCUUCAACGCAAAUGCUUUCAACUUUUGAAUGGAUGACUGGAAAAAUGAAAUGUGAUACUAUUUUACUUCCACUUUCAAUGGUAUUUAUCAUGUUCAUAACCAUCAUAAUGGGAUAAAUAAUUAUACUUUUUAACAUUUAGUUAAAUUUGGUUUGGUUGGAUAGUUUCGGAUUUAAGUCUUUUGAAUUUGAAUUUCAGUAUUUUCGAGUUAAAUUAAUUUGAAUUUGAAUUGUUUUGGUUUUAUAUCUAAUAAAAUUUAGAUAGUUUUUUGUUUGAAUGAAUUCAAGUUUAAGUUAGAUUUUUGUUUGAAUGAAUUCAAGUUUAAGUUAGAUUGAUCAAAAUUAUUGUCUUUUUUAUUGUCAAAUUAUAUUCGGCUGAAUGUAAAUUCGGGUCUUUUAUAUUAAAAAUUUCAAGUUGACAUCAAAAUUCACAUUAACAACACAUUAAAUAUACGAAUGAAUUUUCUAUCUUUUAAUUUAUAUGUUUUUUUUAAUAUUAUAUAACCUUAUCUUAUACAUUUGUAAAAUUCUAUACCAAAAAUCAUGAGAUGUGGUGUGGUUGAGGUUCGAUUCUUAUUCUCGGCAAUGGAGCAUAUUUUAUGAGCGACUGUUUACCUAUUUAAAAAAUACUUACCAUGAGAAAAUUAAUCACUUCUACUGGUAGUAAAUACUCCGACAAAAAAAAUCUUUACCAAAUAAAUUUUCAAAAUAUAAAUGAAAACAUAAUUACCAUAUGAAUAUUGAAAUGAUACAUUUCUUUACAUAAAUAUAUAUAUCACUGCAAGUAGGGGCAAAGUUAUAAAUUUUGUUUAUGGGGGCAAGAUAAGAUUAUAAAAUUUGUGGAGGCUAAAGUUAAAAUUUUUUUAUUAAAAAUGUUUAAAGUAAAUUAAAUUAUUAAUUUUUCAAAAAGAUUAAAAUUAAGAAUUUUCCAUUUAAUCAAAGGUUUAAAAGAACUAAAUUGGAUCUUUUAAUAUUAGGAAGGGGCUAUAAAUGCAAUUAUCCCAUUGAACAAAGGGCCCCGAGUUCCCCUCCCUUCGGCUAAGCCUUGACUGCAAGUCCAAACAAACAAUUAGAUGUAUAAGUAGUUAGAAAAGUUAAAGUUAAAGCCAAUUAUCAAGUUUUUUUUUUCUAAGUUAUUGUGAUAGUUUGUUAGGAGUGUUGUGCAGAAGCGUGUGAAAGAGUAAAAUUAUUGUACUAAAAAAUCAGACUAAGUUCAAUUCCCAGGAAAGAGAGGUGGAUCACGAGGAUCACUUAAGUACCAAGUCUUUCCUAGCCAGAAUAUCCCUCUAUCGUAAUUUAAUAGCACAAUAAAUCACUACAAUCACACUCAUAAAAUAUGAACAAUAAAUAGUAAAGAACACCAGAAUUUUAACGAGGUUCAGCAAAUCUUGCUUACGUCCUCGGGCACUACCAAAUAUAUUUCACUCCAAAACACAAGUGAAACUUUACAAAUAGGGAGAGAGAACAAUGCCUUAAGUAGAGAAUGGCAAAUGUGGGAUGAUGAGAAUGAGCAAUGGUUGGCCUAUUUAUAGUUGAGGUUCAAGGGCCACCUUGCAAAGUCCCUAUUCACUUAGGGACCAAAAAUUGCUAUUAUUCCAUGGCCAACACUAAAUAAAUAUUUGGUGCCCAUAACUUUGACCUUUCCAAGGUAUGGGUAGGUAUGGGCAAGGUAUGGGCAAGGAAUGGGUAUAUUCUAAUAAUCUCCACCUUAAAUAUUUGAUUAGGAUAAUCUUAUCUUCACACAAUUCUUUCUGCCUUUGACAACAAUACUUGAUAGUGCCUUCUUCAACUGUUAAACUUGCAGGAUAUUGAUCAAGUUCAAACAAUGUUCGAACUUGGUUGCUGUUACCACCUUGGUCAUCAUAUCUGCGGGAUUAUCUGCAGUCUUGAUCUUCUGAAGACAAAUUUUCCCCUCUUCAAUAAUUUCCCGCACAAAAUGGAAUCGUAUGUCGAUAUGUUUUGUACGUGCAUGAUAGACUUGAUUCUUUGCUAAAUGAAUAGCACUUUGACUAUCACAAUACACGUUAAUAUGCUCCUGAACCAACCCCAAGGUUUUAGCCAUACCUUGUAACCAAAUAGCCUCCUUUACAGCCUCUGUUACAGCCAUGUACUCGGCUUCUGUGGUUGACAACACAACUGUAGAUUGUAAUGUAGACUUCCAACUUAUUGGUCCUCCAGCAAGUGUAAACACAUAACCGGUGGUUGAUCUUCGCUUGUCCAAAUCACCGGCAUAGUCAGAAUCAACAUACCUAAUAACACCUUUACCAAGUGUAUUAUCCUGCUUGAACAGUAAUCCAACAUCUACGGUCUUCUGAAUAUACCGUAGAAUCCAUUUCACAGCUUGCCAAUGUCCUUUUCCAAGAUUAUGCAUAUACCUGCUCACUAUACUAACUGCUUGUGAAAUGUCGGGUCUUGUACACACUAUUGCAUACAUCAAGCUACCCACUACAUUAGAAUACGGAACUUGCAACAUGUAUUCUCGUUUCGUAUUCAUCGAAGGAGAUAGUUGUGCAGAAUGCUUGAAAUGAGAAGCCAACGGGGUACUUACAAGUUUUGUCUGCUCGUUCAUGUCAAACUGCUGUAGUACCUUAUUCAAAUACUACUUCUGAGACAAGCUAACUCUAUCAUGAGCUCUAUCUCUCCAUAUUUCCAUGCCGAGAAUCUUUUUAGCUUCUCCUAGAUCUUUCAUCUCAAACUCGAGAUUGAGUUGAGUCUUCAAUCUUUCAAUCUCAACUCUGCUCUUAGAUGCUAUUAGCAUAUCAUCAACAUAUAAGAGCAAGUAUAUGAAAGUUCCAUCUUGUAGCUUCUGAAAAUACACACAAUGAUCAAAUUUGCUUUUUGUAUACCUCUGCCCUUUCAUGAACUGAUCAGAUCGCUUGUACCACUGCCUCGGAGAUUGCUUCAAUCCAUAAAGUGACUUUGUCAGUUUGCAAACCCAAUUUUCUUUUCCAGCAACCUUGAAUCCAUCUGGCUGAGUCAUAUAGAUUUCCUCUUCCAAAUCACCGUGUAAAAACGCGGUCUUCACAUCAAGCUGAACUAGUUCAAGAUCAUAUUGCGCAACCAAGGCUAGCAAAAUCCGAAUAGACGAAUGCUUCACAACUGGAGAAAACACUUCAUUGUGAUCUAUUCCUUCUUUCUGAGGGUAACCCUUUGCUACUAAUCUAGCCUUGUAUCGAAUUUCAAUUUUACUAGGAAAUCCUUCCUUCUUUGCAUAUACCCAUUUGCAUCCAAUUGCCUUCUUUCCCUUGGGCAGUGUCACCAACUCCCAGGUCCUAUUUUUAUGAAGAGACUGUAUUUCUUCAUUCAUUGCUUGCUUCCACUUUACACCAUCAAGGUUACUUAUUGCUUCUGUGUAAGUAGAAGGAACAUCAUCAUCAGCAAUUGGAAGUGCAUAGGCCACUAUAUCAUCAAAGCAAGUAGGCUUACGAAUCUCUCUUCUUGGCCUCCUAUAUGCAAUUGAAUCUUAUUGCUGUAGAGGUUCUUGGGUAGGAACCUCUUCAUCAUUUGUCCCUCCAAUAUUAGCUGGAACAUCGUUAACCUUUUCAAGCUCCACCUGCUGCAAAGUACUACUGGUUUUGCCAUCCUUUUGUGAAUCCUUGUACUUUAACAUGGUUGAUUCAUCAAAAGUCACAUCUCUACUGAAAACAAUCUUCCUUGUAUCAGGACACCAGAGACGGUAUCCUUUUACUCCAUCAGUUAUACCCAAGAAUAAUGUUUUCUUUGCUCUUGGGUCUAACUUAGAUUUUUUUACAUGAUAAUAUGCAGUGGAACCAAAUACAUGUAAAGAAUUAUAAUCAGUAGCAGAUUUACCAGUCCACAUCUCCAUAGGAGUUUUUCCAUUUAUUGCAGCUAAUGGCAAACGGUUAAUUAGAUGGCACGCAUAUGUAACUGCCUCAGCCCAAAAUUCCUUGCCCAAUCCAGUAUUGGACAACAUACAUCAAACUUUCUCCAGUAUAGUUCGAUUCAUGCGUUCUGCCACCCCAUUCUGCUGUGGUGUAUCCCGAACAGUGAAGUGUCACACAAUGCCCUUAUCUUGGCAUACUUGUAGAAAUAGAUCGUUUUUGUACUCAGUACCAUUAUCUGAUCGAAUUCGUUUGACCUUUCGACCAGUCUGAGUCUCCACCAUCUUAUUCCAUUUAGAAAUGCAUCCAAAACUUCACUUUUUCUUUUCAUUAGAUACACCCAUACUUUUCUUGAAUAAUCAUCAACAAAAGUAACAAAAUAGUGCAUACCUCCCAAAGAAGCCACUUUGGUAAGUCCCCACACAUCACUGUGAACGUAGUCCAGAAUUCCUUUCAUAUUGUGAAUUGCUGAACCAAAUUUUACCCUCUUCUGCUUGCCCAGAACACAAUGUUCACAGAAUUCCAUUUUGCAAGAAUUUGCACCUUUCAACAAGCCUUGCUUCGCCAAUGUCUGCAAAGCUUUUUCACCAGCAUGUCCCAAUCGCAUAUGCCAUAAUCUAGUAGCCUAUGAAUCUACAUAUUUUUUAGAAACUGUUGAUGUUGAUCCAAUAACUGUACUUCCGUUUAAAAAGUACAAGUUAUUUCUUCUUGUGCCUUUCAUCACCGUCAGUUGCCCAGCUACUACUUUUAGUAAUCCAUAUCUCAAAGUGAUUGUGAGCCCUUUAGAUUCUAGGGCCCCUAAUGAGAUGAGAUUUUUCUUCAGGCUAGGUACGUAGCGAACAUCUGUCAAGACUUGGAUUGAGCCGUCGUGAUUCUUCAAUUGGACUGUACCUACUCCCAUUAUCUUACAAGCACUAUCAUUACCCAUAAGAACAAUUCCACCUUCUAGCUCUUUAAGACUAGAAAACCAGUCCUUAUUAGGACACAUAUGGUAAGUACAUCCUGAAUCCAAAAUCCACUCAUCCGUUUGACAUGCCAUUGCCAUGCCAACCAAGCUAAAGUCUGACUCCUCAUCAUGCUCCGCUACAUAUGCAUUAGAAAUAGCCUUGCCCUUUUGUAGCUUAGGACAAUUCUUUUUCCAAUGCCCUUUUUCACGGUAAAAGGCACAUUCAUCUUUGGCGGGUCUCCCUUUGGACUUUCCCCUUCUACCAGAUUUGCUGCUGUGUGAACGACCUCUUACUGUUAAGACUUCUGCAGUUGUAUCUCUUUGAUCUUUUUUAUCUUUCUUUCGAGUCUCAGAUCUAUACAACACACUACAGACUGCAUCAAAUGUGAUCGUGUCCUUCCCAUGAAGCAAUGUGGUGGUAAGAUGAUCAUAUUCAUCAGGAAGGGAAUUCAACAACAAUAAUGCCUUGUCUUCAUCUUCAAAUUUCUCAUCCAAAUUUAGCAAGUCUGCUAAAAUUUUAUUGAAUGAGUUCACAUGGUCAUUCAUCGACAUACCGGGUGCAUAUGUGAAUCGAUAAAGUUUCUUUUUCAUAUAAAGCCUAUUUUCAAGACUUUUCGUUAGAAACUUUUCUUCCAGUGUAUCCCAUAGCUUCUUCGCUGAUGUCUCCCUCAUGACAGAGUACUUCUGCUCUUUGGCCAAACAUAGGCGGAUUGUACCACACGCCUGUCUAUUGAUCUUGGCCCACUCCUUGUCAUCCAUCUUGUCAGGUUUUUCUUCAAGGGCUAUAUCUAGCUCUUGCUGACAUAAGACAUCUAGGAUCUCACAUUGCCACAUACCAAAAUUAUUGGUACCGUCAAAUUUCUCUACUUCAAAUUUUGCAUUUGUCACAGUAGUCCUUGCUGAUGACGAUGCUACUGCCAUUUUUCUCCUCAAUCUCAACUACUGUAUACGUGAACAGUACCGUAUACGUGAAUAGUGCUGUAUACGUAAAUAGUGUCGUAUACAUGAAUAGUACCGUAAACGGUCGUAUUCCCCAAGUACAAAUCUGGCUCUGAUACCAAUUGUUGUGCGGAAGCAUGUGAAAGAGUAAAAUUAUUGUACUAAAAAAUUACACUAAGUUCAAUUCCCAGGAAAGAGAGGUGGAUCACGAGGAUCACUUAAGUACCAAGUCUUUCCUAGCCAGAAUAUCCCUCUAUCGUAAUUUAAUAGCACAAUAAAUCACUACAAUCACACUCAUAAAAUAUGAACAAUAAAUAGUAAAGAACACCAGAAUUUUAACGAGGUUCAGCAAAUCUUGCUUACGUCUUCGGGCACUACCAAAUAUAUUUCACUCCAAGAAACAAUUGAAACUUUACAAAUAGGGAGAGAGAACAAUGCCUUAAGUAGAGAAUGGCAAAUGUGGGAUGAUGAGAAUGAGCAAUGGUUGGCCUAUUUAUAGUUGAGGUUCAAGGGCCACCUUGCAAAGUCCCUAUUCACUUAGGGACCAAAAAUUGCUAUUAUUCCAUGGCCAACACUAAAUAAAUAUUUGGUGCCCAUAACUUUGACCUUUCCAAGGUAUGAGUAGGUAUGGGAAAGGUAUGGGCAAGGUAUGGGCAAGGAAUGGGUAUAUUCUAAUAAGGAGAUCUCAUAAUAUCAUUCCUAAUGAAAUGUUAUAAAAUAUUAUUAUGAGAUAUUAUUUUUUAGUAAUUUGAUUUCUAUGUAACUACUAUUACGUAGAUAUAUAUGUCCUUGAGGUGUAUUAAUAAAAUUCAAGAUAUUACUCUAUUCUUAUCAUGACAUCUGAGCAAGGUUUUGGAUACAAUUUUUUUUUUCUUUCAUCAUUCUAAAUGGCUGGCGAUGAGACUUCUCCUCCUCCACCACCAUGAUCCGGGUGAAAAUAACAUCUGAAACACUAUUCUAUAGGUAGGAUAUUGCUUUGUAUUUCUUGGCACACUCAUCACUGUAUUGCCUUAUUUGAGCAAUGGUAGGAUGUGCUCUCAAAGGUGGUGUCUCCCUGCUUGUCUAGACCACAUCCCACAAGUCAUAAACAUGGAGGUAGGUCCUAUCUUCACUACCUAAAUGUGGUAGUUUUCUUCAGUAAAAACAGGUGGUGGAGGGGGUGAAAAGUUUGCUGAAGACAUGUUUUACAGCAACAAGAAACAGAAACAAAAACAAUGACCCUUAAAGACAACACGCUCUUGAUAGUAAUUAUUGGUGUUUUAAGAGAAGUAAAACAAAGAACAGAUGAAAAACGAGCAGCAAGAAGCAUAAAAAUGAAGUUGAAAAUGUUAUAUAUGCUUAUCCAUUCAAUAAGAAAUCAUUACAAUUUAAGUCACUAAAUAUUACAAAAUACAUAACUACUCUCAUUAACUAUAUUGAAACUUACAAAACAUUGUCUGCACUUAAGCAAAAAGAGUUAAUCAACACCUAAUCAAACCAAUGCACGCCAAAUACAUUGAAUGAAACUAAAAAGAGAACUAAGCUGAACCAGCAUCCUUCAAACAAAAUCAACAUGUAUCAGAGUUUCAUCAGCUGCAUGGUUGGCCAACUUGUAACAGAUUCUAUAUCAUGUCUAGCUUUAGAGGUGAAUUCAAAAAAAAAAAAAAAAAUUGAGGACGAAAAUUUAAUUAUAAACUUUUGACAAGUUAAAAUAUAUAAUUUCAUCAUGUAUUGUACUUUAUGAUUCCAUCAUUUUUAAGAGACUAAUCAGAUUUUUUGUUUAUUUAUUGGGUUAAAGUACAUUUCUACGAUAUAUUAACAUAUAACUCUAUCAUUUUAGAAGAGAUUGAAUCGCAACUAUUCAUAUAUUAUCUAGUACGUACAUAUCAAUAAAAAAUUUAAACAAUGUCCAACUAUGUUAAUCAUGACGUGGAUUAUUCUUUGAAAAGAUGGUUUUUUUUUCCGUUUAGUGACAAAAUACCAUCAUUAUCAUGUAACGUGGAACAGGGGAUCAAUUAUGCUUGAAGAAAACUAAAGUCAAGUCAAGUGGAUUUAUCUUUCCAUUUAUCCAUGGAAAAUACAAACUCAUGAUUUCUAAAGAAAUAUUAGCUCGUCUAAUUACUUUUGGUCCAGUCUUUACUUAAAGGACGGGAUACAUAUUCACACAUUUUCUCAUAUUAGUAUUGCAUUGCACUUAAUGUUUGGUGAGAUACAGUCAUAGAGUGAGAGGAAUAUUCUAGGGAUAAUGCUUGGGUAACUCCUUUUAGACGUAGCUUGUACGUAUGUAAUAUAGAUAUAUCAUUAUUGUAUAUGUAAAUAUUAACUCGUUAAUUAUGUGAUACUCAAAAUAUAAUUUAAUUUUAUCAAAUACAUUACCAAAUACAAGUUGAUUAGUUAGCGUUGUGCAUCAACUUGUCUUCAUCAUUUUAAGAGUAAAUUGGAGAGUCUAACUGAUGUUCUUCCUUGAACAAAGCGACUUCGAUAUAAAAGCAAUACUAUUCUAUUUUACUAAUAUUAUUCCAUGCAAUUCCUAAUUAAUUACAUAAUUCAUUGUGUGAUAUUUACAGCCAACAUAAAUAUUAAUUUUUAUCACAAAAUAUUUUGAUAAAACUGCAAUUAUUGGGACAUUAAUUACUCUUUUUGUAAUUACAAAUAUCUCUAAUUCUUCAAACGUGUUUAAUAUAUAAUAUAAAUAUAGAUUAUGAUGCAAUAUAUAUAUGAAUAAAUAUUAACCUUAAAUUAAUGUGCACUUGUAUAUAAAAACUUUAAUUUGGCUCAAUUAUAAAUGUAAAACUCUAAUUGUGGUUCACAUACAUACUUGAAAUUUUAAUUUUGAUUUAAUCAUAUACAUUUAAAGAAAUAAAUAUAUCAAUUUAUUUUUAUAUUGGGUAAAUAUAAUUAUUUAUGUAUGCAAUAUAUAAAUAUAAAAUGAUGUUAUAUCAAUAAUUGUGUUAAUAAUUUACAAGAAUUGAAUCAAAUCAAAAUUUAUGUAUACAAUUACAUAUUAAACAUAAGUCAUAUAUAAUUUUAAGAUUUAUCCCAAUUAUAAUCUACAAUGACUCUAAUUGACUUUAACACAUCGAUGCUUAGUCAAUAACCCCAUCCCAUUCCUCGCAUCCCGCUGCGGUUUUAUUCUUUUUAAGAAUAAAAAAAUAGUUGUUAUAAUAAAAAAAAUUAAUAAAUGUAUCUAUCUAUUUAUCUAUAUUUAUUUAUAUUACAUAUUUAUCUACCUAUUUUAUAAAUCCACUAUAUUACUAUGUAAAUUUACAUUUAUAUUAUAUAUUAAAUGAUUAAUUGAAUUGGGCAAAUAUAAGGUUAUAAACCUCUUUCUCAUCGUUUUCACAAUAGAUUUUUGUUUUCAAUUCGUAUUUAAAUUAAGAUCUUCACUUGAAUUCGAAAAUUGAUCUGAUUAAAUUGAAUUUAAAUUUGAUUCAAUCAUAAAAAGAAAAUCUAGAGCUCUUGAGAAUAAAAAAGGAUUUGAAUUCAAAAUGAUAUGAACUCGAAUACCUAACCAAAAAAACUUGGUUGAAAAACCCAAAUGAUUGAACCUAAAAUAACUCAAACAUUGUAUUAGGAGUCAGAUUACAUUUUGCCCCCUCUACUAAAAAGAUGGACAAAUUAGUCUAUAUAUGUUAGAUCAAAAAGCUAAUUGGUCAUUCUUGUAAUAAAAAAAAUUCAUUUCUACUGUUAAAAUUUGAUCCCUGUACAUUAGCAUAAGGUAUAUGUGGCAUACUACGUGUAACUGUUUAGUUAUUUCGUCAGUUACGCUAGUUUUUAAUAGUAAAAAUGGAUGAAAUUUUUAAUAGAAAAGAUAAGAUUUCCUUUUAAUCUAACCUACAAUAACUAAUUUAUCCAUUUUUUAAAUAAUGAGAACAAAAUACAACUUAACUCUUAAUAUAAUAACUUCUAUAAUACUUUUACCAACUCCCAAUGUUUGAACACAUUCUUGUAGGUAAAAUAAUACCAAAAUUGAAAAAAAAUGUGUGUUUUAUGUCAUAAAAUUCUGAAAUAAAAAACCUAAAAGAAAACAUAGUAACAUCUUCAUGUCAUAAUAUCUGAAAUAUUGGUAAAGGCAAAAAGGCAUUAAUGGGGUGACCUUUGGGCCAAGGCCCUUCUAUCACCAUGCUUUGGACCCAACAUUCAUGAAUGGAUAUUCAAAUCUAACAGUCCAAUACAUGCAUUUGCCUCCUAUUCCAAGCAAAAAAAAAAAACAUAUAUAUUUUGGUAAAUUAAAAAUGAAUAAUGAAAGCAUUUAGGAGAAUAUAAUAUUUAUAUCGUCUUAAAAAUGCAGAGUCAAAUCAACUACUAUUUAUUUAUAACUUUCCCCGCUCAUAAACAUAUCAUGGUUCUUAAGCUUGAUAAGAGAUAUUUCAUGAAGAUGCACUGAAAUUGGAGACUUGAUGUGUAGGAAUUCUUGAGACAUUGAUUUCAUUGUUGGUCGAGCUUUGGGUUUGGCCCGUAAGCAUGCGAAAGCAAUCACAGCAACAAAAGCAAUGUCUCCUGUCAUUUUUCGACUUCUUGGGGGUGAUAAUCGAGGGUCCAAAAUUUCAUUUAACAUGACAUUUUUGAUAUUAGAUGGCGAUGGCGUUGAUGAUAGUGUUGACAACAAUUCACCAGGAUGCUUUCCCAUCAAUAUUUCCAAUGCCAACACUCCAAAGCUAUAUACAUCACAUUUUUCCGUCACAACUAAUGAAUAAGCAAGUUCUGUAAUUAAAACAAAAAAGUAUAGUUAAAAAUAGAUACGAAUUUAUAUUGUGCAUAGGUGCAUGUGUAGUUUCAUUUGAAUUCUUUAAUCUCAAGUUAAAACAAAAAAUUUAUUUAUAUUUGAUGUUUGCUAAUUUUGCUUUUCCCAUUUGUUUCAAAUAAUAUGUAAUUCAAAAUAAAUAAUCAGGGCAAACUAAGAAUGAAUGAAGCUAAAUAAAAAGGGAAAAAGAGAGUGAAUGUAUAGAACCUGGGGCAAUAUAUCCGUACGUGCCAACAAUUACAGUUUGAUUAGAUGAAUUAGGAUCAAGAAGUCUUGCAGUUCCAAAAUCAGAAAUAAAAGCUUCCAAUUCAGAGUUCAACAAAAUGUUAUUACUUGAGAUGUCUCGAUGAACAAUUGGAGGGUUGCAAUCAUGAUGCAUGUAAGAUAAAGCAUGUGCGACACCUUUGACAAUGUUCACUCUUUUGGUCCAAUCCAAUUCCACAGCUUCCUCAUCAAUGCUCAAGGCAUAAAACAAGCUUCCGUUUUCCAUAUAUUCAUAAAUCAAGAACAUGCAACGAUUGUGGAGACAAAAUCCGUGGAGCUUGACAAUGUUCUUGUGUCGUAUUUCUGUUAAAAACUUGAUCUCAUUUCGGAAACUUGUAUCAUAAGCCGGCUGCUCAGCUUCCAAUCGGUGGAGUUUUUUCAAUGCAACAACUUUGCCACUUGGUAAGAUUGCUCUGUAUACACUGCCAUAACCACCCGUUCCAAUGCAAUAUUUGAUAUCAAAAUCCUCUGUGGCUUUGAUGAUGUCUUCAAAAGCAAUCUUUCCAUCAAAGUUCCAAAUACAGAAUAAAUCUCCAUUUUUGGUUGGACUUGGCUCAGAUUUCAAAGCUUUAGCUCUAUAUCGUCGGAAUAGGAUGAAUAUCACCAACACAAAAGUCGAGACAAAAAAUAACAAAGUUGGAACCAGAAUAACAAUAGGCAGAUUGUGCUUCACUACUUUGCUAUUUCUUUCUCGGUUUACAUUUGGAGAUGAAGGGCAAGGACGGAAGCCUUGAAUGGAACCGCAUAAAUACUUGUUGCCUAUAAAUGUCUCGGGUGCAAAAUGCAAUAAUCCAUCUGGAAUUUGACCCCUCAGUGAAUUAAAUGACAAAUUGAGGUUCCCCACAUAAAAUGGAAAUUCGGGAAUCGUGCCCGUUAGAUUAUUCCAACUGAGAUCUAAGCUGCUUAAAUCAGUUGAAUUCCCAAAUUGGGAAGGUAUCACUCCUAGGAGAAGGUUAUGGCUAAGAACAAUGUUUUGG